AGGUCUUACGGGUGUAAAACGGCAUGAGGGUGAGUAAUUAAUAACAGAAUUUUAAUUUUUGGGUGAAAUAACCCUUUAAAGAUUAAUUUGUGCAGCUUGCCUUUGUGCAUAUCUCUCUCUCUCUCUCUCUCUCUCUCUCUCUCUCUCUCUCGAUAUGUGACGUAUAUGAGAAGCAGGCAAGUAUAGACAACAAGCAAUGAGCAAUGCAAGAAUAAUGCUUCAAUUCUUCUUUUGCAGGUGACGAUAGAGGGGAUGACUUUUUAUAUGGAUUGCAGGAAUGCUGGAGAUACAGAACAAACAAGGAAAUUAGGAGACAGAAUCUUGAAGAAAUCAUGGAGGGGUCGUGGAGCAUGGGCGAACCUGGUCCAUGGAGCAAGGGCUGACUUGGACCUUGGAGCAUAGGUGGACCAGGGUCGUGGAGCAUGAGCAAAUUUGGACCUUGGAGCAUGGGUGGACCAGGCCCACGGAGCCUGGUUGGGCUUGGAUCAUGGUGCAGUGGCAGACAUGGGCCGUGGUUCCGUGGCAGACUAUGGAGCAUUGGUGGUCCUGGACUGUGGAGCAGUGGUAAGCCAGGGUCAUGAAUCACUGGAGGGCCAAGCUCCGCAUCUGCUAGAGCUGACUGAUUGCUCCUGUCUGCCUCGCUGCUGGUGGUUUGCGUCUCCGUAUAGCUUUGUUUUCUCUGGUUGCAGAUAAAGUCCUUGUUGUUGGUGAUUUUAAUAUCCAUGUAGAU